rnacentral:tRNA from 1 species
GCCGAGGUGGUGGAAUGGUAGACACACGGGACUCAAAAUCCCGCGAUAGCAAUAUCAUGAGGGUUCAAGUCCCUCCCUCGGCACCA